rnacentral:rRNA from 1 species
UACGUAGGGGGCUAGCGUUGUCCGGAAUCAUUGGGCGUAAAGAGCGUGUAGGCGGCCCGGUAAGUCCGCUGUGAAAGUCGGGGGCUCAACCCUCGAAUGCCGGUGGAUACUGUCGGGCUAGAGUGCGGAAGAGGCGAGUGGAAUUCCUGGUGUAGCGGUGAAAUGCGCAGAUAUCGGGAGGAACACCGAUUGCGAAGGCAGCUCGCUGGGACGUUACUGACGCUGAGACGCGAAAGCGUGGGGAGCAAACAGG